GACGGGGCCCGCACAAGCGUGGAGCAUGUGGUUUAAUUCGACGCAACGCGAAGAACCUUUACCUGGUCUUGACAUCCACGGAAGUUUUCAGAGAUGAGAAUGUGCCUUCGGGAACCGUGAGACAGGUGCUGCAUGGCUGUCGUCAGCUCGUGUUGUGAAAUGUUGGGUUAAGUCCCGCAACGAGCGCAACCCUUAUCCUUUGUUGCCAGCGGUCCGGCCGGGAACUCAAAGGAGACUGCCAGUGAUAAACUGGAGGAAGGUGGGAUGACGUCAAGUCAUCAUGGCCCUUACGACCAGGGCUACACACGUGCUACAAUGGCGCAUACAAAGAGAAGCGACCUCGCGAGAGCAAGCGGACCUCAUAAAAUGCGUCGUAAUCCGGAUUGGAGUCUGCAACUCGACUCCAUGAAGUCGGAAUCGCUAGUAAUCGUGGAUCAGAAUGCCACGGUGAAUACGUUCCCGGGCCUU
rnacentral:rRNA from 1 species